AUUGAACGCUGGCGGCAUGCUUUACACAUGCAAGUCGAACGGUAACAGGCCUUCGGGUGCUGACGAGUGGCGAACGGGUGAGUAAUGCAUCGGAACGUGCCCAAAGGUACGGAAUAGCCUCGGGAAACUGAGAGUAAUACCGUAUGUGCCCUUCGGGGGAAAGAUUUAUCGUCAAAGGAUUAGCCCGCGUUGGAUUAGAUAGUUGGUGGGGUAAUGGCCUACCAAGUCUACGAUCCAUAGCUGGUUUGAGAGGAUGAUCAGCAACACUGGGACUGAGACACGGCCCAGACUCCUACGGGAGGCAGCAGUGGGGAAUCUUAGACAAUGGGCGCAAGCCUGAUCUAGCCAUGCCGCGUGGACGAUGAAGGCCUUAGGGUUGUAAAGUCCUUUCAGAUGGGAAGAUAAUGACGGUACCAUCAGAAGAAGCCCCGGCUAACUCCGUGCCAGCAGCCGCGGUAAAGUGGGACUGU
rnacentral:rRNA from 1 species